CCUACGGGUGGCAGCAGUGAGGAAUAUUGGUCAAUGGACGAGAGUCUGAACCAGCCAAGUAGCGUGAAGGAUGACUGCCCUAUGGGUUGUAAACUUCUUUUAUAUGGGAAUAAAACGUUCCACGUGUGGGAUUUUGUAUGUACCAUAUGAAUAAGGAUCGGCUAACUCCGUGCCAGCAGCCGCGGUAAUACGGAGGGUCCGAGCGUUAUCCGGAUUUAUUGGGUUUAAAGGGAGCGUAGGUGGAUUGUUAAGUCAGUUGUGAAAGUUUGCGGCUCAACCGUAAAAUUGCAGUUGAAACUGGCAGUCUUGAGUACAGGAGAGGUGGGCGGAAUUCGUGGUGUAGCGGUGAAAUGCGUAGAUAUCACGAAGAACUCCGAUUGCGAAGGCAGUUCACUGGACUGCAACUGACACUGAGGCUCGAAAGUGUGGGUAUCAAACAGGAUUAGAUACCCUUGUAGUC
rnacentral:rRNA from 1 species